rnacentral:lncRNA from 1 species
CUCAUUCUCACUCACUCUCUGCUGUAAUUUUCGGGAGGAGAUUUGGAAGAUUCUUGCUGUUUUCGUAGUCAAGGCUAAGUCAAGUUACAGCACUUCCAGAAGAUAUUGUUUUCCCCCUGAGGACGGUCUUGGAUGUUGCUGCAAUGGAGCAAAAAUUGGCAGACCCCACCUUCCACAAACAAGUGGUUGGUGUGGUGGCAGAAAUUGGAGGAAGAACAUUGGAUGAAGCCACCAGAAGAAUGAUGGCCUUCCUUUUAGACCACACCCUAUCAAGAGAGUACAAUUUUGUUGGCUGCCAUGGAAAGCGAGAGUUUCGGGGGCUCAAACUGUUUGAGGUAGUAUAUGGAAGCUUGAAAAAAAAUGCCCUUACAAACCAGAUUACUAGAAGAGAUGCUGAAAAGGCAGUGUCAAAGUUGUCAAUUGGUGCCAGGGACAGGGCAGGAAACCGUACAGCGAGGGCACGUGGUGGAGAGCAAGAUGGGUAAAAGUCAUUAUCAUUAAAACUGCUGUUAAAAAGUGUUUAACCUACUUAUAUUUGUGUAAAACACAACAUUGUGCUUUUGUCAAACUAUAAACUUUUGUCAAACUGUAGGCUAACCUACAACUGUCACCCAACCAAAAUCUCACACACACACACAGUUCAGUGGUUCUGGAGAUUUAUCUGAAUGAGGAAAAUUAUUCUGAAAUUAAUGUUUUCCGUAAACACAC